GAGAGACCGAUAGUGAACCAGUACCGUGAGGGAAAGGUGAAAAGCACUUCGAACAGAAGAGUGAAAUAGUUCCUGAACCCAUACGCCUACAAGCUGUCGGAGCCGCUUCGUGCGGUGACGGCGUGCCUUUUGCAUAAUGAGCCUACGAGUUACUCAUCACCAGCGAGGUUAAGUACUUCAGGUACGUAAGCCGAAGCGAAAGCGAGUCUGAAUAGGGCGUCAAGUUGGUGGUGGUAGACGCGAAACCUUAGUGAUCUACCCAUGGGCAGGGUGAAGGUUUGGUAACACAAACUGGAGGCCCGAACCGGUAAACGUUGAAAAGUUUUCGGAUGACCUGUGGGUAGGGGUGAAAGGCCAAUCAAACUGGGAAAUAGCUCGUACUCUCCGAAAUGCAUUUAGGUGCAGCCUCUGUUGUUUUGUUCUAGAGGUAGAGCUACUGAUUGGAUGCGAGGGCUUCACCGCCUAUCAAAUCCGGCCAAACUCCGAAUGCUAGAACAUGAAGACAGGGAGUGAGCCAGCGGGUGCUAAGGUCCGUUGACGAAAGAGGGAGAACUCAGACCAUCAGCUAAGGUCCCCAAUUAUAUGCUAAGUUGGAAUAAAAACGGGGUGGGACUGCUUAGACAGCUAGGAUGUUGGCUUGGAAGCAGCCAUUCAUUUAAAGAGUGCGUAACAGCUCACUAGUCGAGCGGUCCUGCAUGGAUAAUACGCGGGCAUAAGCAUAUAACCGAAGCUAUGGGAUUGUAGAUGAUACAAUCGGUAGGAGAGCAUUCCAUUCAGCAUAGAAGCAGUACCGUGAGGUAUUGUGGAGCGGAUGGAAAAGCAAAUGUAGGCAUAAGUAACGAUAAUGCGGGUGAGAACCCCGCACGCCGAAAGAUCAAGGAUUCCCCGGCAAUGUCAAUCAUCCGGGGGUAAGUCGGAUCCUAAGGGUAAGCCGAGUGGCGAUCCCGAUGGUAAACAGGUUAAUAUUCCUGUACUGAUCAUAACUGCGAUGCAGCGACGCAGAGGUGACACUGCUGCGUACUGACGGAAUAGUACGUUGAAACCCGUAUUCUUUGAUACCGGUAGUGAAGCACGCCGGUAGAGAUGAAAGGUGAUAGUACCGCAAUGCUUCGGUUGCGCGGAUAACGCAGGUAAGCUGACUGCCAAGAAAACCUGCUAAGCUUCAGGUAAUGAUCAUCCGUACUGUAAACGGACACACGUGAUCAGGUAGAAAAUACUAAGGCGCUCGAGAGAUUCAUGGUUAAGGAACUAGGCAAAAUGGUCCUGUAACUUCGGGAUAAAGGACGCUCUUGUGAAAGAGCCGCAGAUAAUAGGCCCAGGCGACUGUUUACCAAAAACACAUGGCUAUGCUAAUUCGCAAGAAGAUGUAUAUGGCCUGACACCUGCCCGGUGCCGGAAGGUUAAGAGGAGAGCUCAGAGGUAACUCGAAGGUUUGAAUUGAAGCCCCGGUAAACGGCGGCCGUAACUAUAACGGUCCUAAGGUAGCGAAAUUCCUUGUCGGGU
rnacentral:rRNA from 1 species